rnacentral:tRNA from 1 species
GGAGAGAUGGCCGAGUGGUUUAAGGCGGCGGUCUUGAAAACCGCUGUAUCGAAAGAUACCGGGGGUUCGAAUCCCUCUCUCUCCG